CCGAAAUUUAAAAACUCACAACGCGAGUCUCGUGGCGGAAGCCAAAUAUGACUGCCGGAGACUUUGUUGACUCUUCAAGUCUUCCUUUGCUCAAGUCAAAACCACACUCGUGAAGCACAUGUGACGAGUUCUGUGGUGAGCAUCGGGAGCACUAGGCGUUUUCCUUCGGGAUUCACAGUCUAAAAAAACGAAUUGUAUAAGUAAUAUAUCAAAUAAAACUAAUAAAAAAAGACGGAAAAAAAAUCAA
rnacentral:misc_RNA from 1 species